rnacentral:misc_RNA from 1 species
GGAAGGAUCAUUAUCAAAAGUCAGUCGGGAGCCCUUGUGGCUGCCGUCUACACCCAAGUCUUUUGUGUACUCUUUGUUUCCUCGGCGGCGUAAGUCGCCGAAUGGACAAACUAAAACCUUUUUGUAAUUGCAAUCAGCGUCAUUAAAUAUAAUAAUAUUUACAACUUUCAACAACGGAUCUCUUGGUUCUGGCAUCGAUGAAGAACGCAGCGAAAUGCGAUAAGUAGUGUGAAUUGCAGAAUUCAGUGAAUCAUCGAAUCUUUGAACGCACAUUGCGCCCCUUGGUAUUCCAUGGGGCAUGCCUGUUCGAGCGUCAUUUGUACCCUCAAGCUUUGCUUGGUGUUGGGCGUCUUGUCGGAUUAUCCGACUCGCCUUAAAUACAUUGGCAGCCGGCACUUUGGCCUAGGAGCGCAGCACAUUUUGCGAUCGUAAGCCGUUGUGACAGCAUCCAUAAGAUAUAUUUUACCACGUUUGACCUCGGAUCAGGUAGGGAUACCCGCUGAACUUAAGCAUAUCAAUAAGCGGAGGAAAAGAAACCAACAGGGAUUGCCCUAGUAACGGCGAGUGAAGCGGCAACAGCUCAAAUUUGAAAUCUGGCUCUUUCAGAGUCCGAGUUGUAAUUUGCAGAGGGCGCUUUGGCGUUGGCAGCGGUCCAAGUUCUUUGGAACAGGACGUCACAGAGGGUGAGAAUCCCGUACGUGGUCGCUAGCCAUCACCGUGUAAAGCCCCUUCGACGAGUCGAGUUGUUUGGGAAUGCAGCUCUAAAUGGGAGGUAAAUUUCUUCUAAAGCUAAAUACUGGCCAGAGACCGAUAGCGCACAAGUAGAGUGAUCGAAAGAUGAAAAGCACUUUGGAAAGAGAGUCAAAUAGCACGUGAAAUUGUUGAAAGGGAAGCGCUUGCAGCCAGACUUGCCUGUAGUUGCUUACCUAGACUUUUGUCUGGGGCACUCUUCUGCAGGCAGGCCAGCAUCAGUUUGGGCGGUUGGAUAAAGGUCUCUGUCACGUACCUCCCUUCGGGGAGGCCUUAUAGGGGAGACGUAAUGCAACCAGCCUGGACUGAGGUCCGCGCAUCUGCUAGGAUGCUGGCGUAAUGGCUGUAAGCGGCCCGUCUUGAAACACGGACCAAGGAGUCUAACAUCUAUGCGAGUGUUUGGGUGUCAAGCCCAUACGCGUAAUGAAAGUGAACGGAGGUGGGAACCUUAGGGUGCACCAUCGACCGAUCCUGAUGUCUUCGGAUGGAUUUGAGUAAGAGCAUGGCUGUUGGGACCCGAAAGAUGGUGAACUAUGCUUGAAUAGGGUGAAGCCAGAGGAAACUCUGGUGGAGGCUCGCAGCGGUUCUGACGUGCAAAUCGAUCGUCAAAUUUGGGCAUAGGGGCGAAAGACUAAUCGAACUAUCUAGUAGCUGGUUCCUGC